CGUUUAUUGAGCUUUCCCUCGGGGAGCGGGGGAACCUAACUUGCCUUAGUGCUGCAGAAUCAGAAAGCGCGCGAGGGCGCCCACUCCCGGGACAGUAGGAAGAAAGGGGAAGGGCACCAACGUGCAACGGGCAUCCAAACUUCACAAGGAAAGCUUGGUUUCCCCUGGCUCGGCUUGGUCCUCCUCCUCUUUCCACUGCCUGGGAAACCGCCCUCGGGUGCUCUCCGGCCUCUGGGACACACAGGAAACCUCCUAAGCACGGGAGGAUCUUAUUCCCUGACUCGCUUUUGGUUGAAAAGCCAGUCACCAGACCUCAGAGAUCUUUGCGAGGGUUUAUAAACUGCAUCUUGUUGUUUUCCAAAGCAGCGGUCUGUGGUCUGUGGUCCGGACACCGACUGACUGAACCGGCGCCUGGCGAUGGGCAUGGAAGCCGCUUCCGCCUGCAAGCCCAUCAGAGGGCCGUGGUCAACCCCCCCCCCCCCGCCCCGUUUCCUCAACAGCCCCUCCGAAUCUCCAUCGCCUGCCUCAAGCGGGAUCGUCCUCAUACCGUUCGGUACCGGAAGAGAUCAGAGGCCAGCUAGUCAAGAACUCUCCGUUUCCCGCACCCCCCCCAGCCCCCAUUUGAAUGUCGCUCUAUUUCUCUCCACCCACCCCUCCCCUUUCCCUUUGGUUUUCCAGGAAGAGGGAUUCAGCUUGGCAGUUCCAGGGUCCUGGCUCCACGUGGGGUGCCCUGGGAACCAUCUGCUCAGCCUCCCCCAAAGAUCUCGUUCCCUCAGUUUGCCAGCUGCUUUCUCUUCGGCCCGUCUCUUUCCUUAAGCCGCUGAGCACACCCAAGUCUCUCCCAGCAUCCACACCUCUCCUUUCUGCUCCUCCACCACCGCCUUCUCUCUCGACCUUUCACGGCUAAGCUGCUGCCAGAAGACCUCGACGACUCGUCAGUCAUCCAGUCAUCGCCUCGUCUCUCACCGGCUCCUCGAAAGACUCCCCAAAUCUCGUUGCCGUCACGUCCUAGCAAGAGGCCGGGGCACGCCCUUCGGUUCCCUCAUCUUCCUAAACUCUCUGUGGUGUCUGAGGAAUGCUGCCCACGUCUUCAGUCUCUGCAAGUUCUCUCCACCCUCUUUCUCUGGGGGAUGGCCCCCUCCCCAGGCACGGUCUUCAGGGAACAGGAACCCCUUGGGUCUCAGAGCAAGCUCAUGCGCUCCUACGAUUCGACUGGCCCCCGGAUGCCCAGGGCUUCUGAGUGCGUAUGACUGACGUCACCCUGCCCCUGACUCCACACUGCUUUCUCUAACUGUCUGCUGGACGCACCUCUCAGGAUGUCCAAAGGCUUCUCAAAACCGACACGUCCAAAAGGGAGCCCGAACAACAGGAAGACGGCAGAUCAGAGAGCAGCUUGAUGGCAGCCCCCCGGCCCCCGCCCGACCGAACAUCGUGCAGAGGCUUGGACCAGCUGAAAUGACGGAUCGCCCACUUUCCGCGUCAGGGACGGAGAUCCUCGGCGUGCAACAUGUCGAACCCCACUGACUUCGCACUUGUGACCCACGAAGAAAUACGAGCGACAGUCGCACCUGAGCAGAGGACUCUUCAAGCUUCACCCCCAGCGCUCUCGUGGUCCCGCCCCUACCCCGAACCCCAGAUAAACGCCCCAACGUUUUGUUUUCCCUUUGAGGAGGCGGGUUUGAGUUUUACUCCCACCUCCUUGUCUGGCCGCCUCUUGAUCAUAAACUUCUUUCCUUGCUGC
ensembl:lncRNA